AUACUUACCUGGCAGGGGAGAUACCAUGAUCAUGAAGGUGGUUUUCCCAGGGCGAGGCUCACCCAUUGCACUCCGGGUGUGCUGACCCCUGCGAUUUCCCCAAAUGUGGGAAACUCGACUGCAUAAUUUGUGGUAGUGGGGGACUGCGUUCGCGCUAUCCCCUG
rnacentral:snRNA from 1 species